AGUUGUAAUUUGAAGAUUGUAACCUUGGGGUUGGCUCUUGUCUAUGUUUCUUGGAACAGGACGUCACAGAGGGUGAGAAUCCCGUGCGAUGAGAUGCCCAAUUCUAUGUAAGGUGCUUUCGAAGAGUCGAGUUGUUUGGGAAUGCAGCUCUAAGUGGGUGGUAAAUUCCAUCUAAAGCUAAAUAUUGGCGAGAGACCGAUAGCGAACAAGUACAGUGAUGGAAAGAUGAAAAGAACUUUGAAAAGAGAGUGAAAAAGUACGUGAAAUUGUUGAAAGGGAAGGGUUUGAGAUCAGACUCGAUAUUUUGUGAGCCUUGCCUUCGUGGCGGGGUGACCCGCAGCUUAUCGGGCCAGCAUCGGUUUGGGCGGUAGGAUAAUGGCGUAGGAAUGUGACUUUACUUCGGUGAAGUGUUAUAGCCUGCGUUGAUGCUGCCUGCCUAGACCGAGGACUGCGAU
rnacentral:rRNA from 1 species